UACGUAGGGUGCGAGCGUUGUCCGGAAUUAUUGGGCGUAAAGAGCUUGUAGGCGGUCUGUCGCGUCUGCUGUGAAAAUCCGGGGCUCAACCCCGGACUUGCAGUGGGUACGGGCAGACUAGAGUGUGGUAGGGGAGACUGGAAUUCCUGGUGUAGCGGUGAAAUGCGCAGAUAUCAGGAGGAACACCGAUGGCGAAGGCAGGUCUCUGGGCCACUACUGACGCUGAGAAGCGAAAGCAUGGGGAUCAAACAGG
rnacentral:rRNA from 1 species